rnacentral:lncRNA from 1 species
UGGCAAGCAAUCAAACUCAUAUUAUUUUAUAAACUUAGCGAAUUCAGCUAUUAGAUAAUUCGUUUCCCUAUCCAAAUGCAACGACGACAUCAUAAACAAACUCGUGUUAAUGAAGAGAAAAGUGUAUAGUGAAUACAUAGAAACACGAUACUUACAGUUUCAUCAAGAAUAGAACUCGUGCAUUAGCAAAAUUUCAUAUGGGACUUUGAUAGCCAAAUAUUUCUCUUACUCUUUCCCAUAGUUUUUCAAUCACAUUAUUCAUGACUUCAUGCAAACAUGAUCCAACUGUAAAGAUCCAAAAGUGAGGAUCACACUCGUAAGAUUCCAGCAGCCUGCAAGCGUAACCAAGACACCAUUUCAAACAUGAACACUAAUUACAACUAUCAUCAACUCUUAAUAAAUCCAAAUUCACACAUAUAGCCACCAAAUUGAGUUGUGAUUCAAGAAGAGCACUCAUGUCCUUCAUAAACUGACUGUUCAAUUUUGAGAAGCACCCAUAACCACAAAAUAAUGAUAAACAUUCCAAGAUUACUCACAUCAGUUAGUUUUCACUCAAGCAAUUCACCUCGAUCUCAAUUUUACUAUUAAUAUUUAAUCAUCUAAAAACAACAAAAAUAUUCAAUUUUGAGACAUCUCACAAACACAAAAUGACCAAAGAUUCAUCAUUACUGCUCACAUCAAUUAGUUUCCCAGAAAAUUCACCUAAAUCUAAGUUUUAAGCAGAUAUAUAACCAUCUAAAAACAACAAAAAGAUUCAAACUUGAGACAUCAUACAACCACAAAAUGACCAAAGAUUCAUCAAGUUUACUACUCACAGCAGUUGGUUUGCCAGCAAAGUCACCUCAAUCCCAAUUUUACAUAACAUCUAAAAACAACAAAAAGAUUCAAUCUUGACAACCCACAACCACAAAAUGACCAAAGAUUCAUCAAGAUCACCACUACACUAACAUGCGAUAAUUAUUUUUUUCAUCUUUUCUAUCUCUUAUAAUAAAUUUGCAAUAAAAAAAAACUCAAUCUUAAUGUAUAUUUAGAUGAGUGUAUUUAAGUUCCAGCCGUUAUUACCAUGUAAAUAUAAGGACAAUAGCGUCCUCCAGCUCCAAAUCUCUUCACUGCUUGAAGCUUCAACAACCUGUUGAUAUCAAACAAAUUUUAUAUAUAGUAAUCAAAUUCACAAAAUACAAAUUCGAAAUAAAUGAAAAUCUGAAUUCAAUAGACUCUGUGAUUUGCUGAUGUUAUAAAACCAAAGAAGAAGUAAAGAAGUUCCAAGAUAGCUUGAGUUGUGAUUCAAGAAGAGCACUCACUUACAAUUGUAGAUGGAAGUAAGCAAAAAAUAUUCGAUUUGGGUGCUGCAAUAUGGAGAAAUACAAAGAGAAAUCAAUCCAAUGCAGAAAUACAUAGAGAAAUACCGAGAGAAAAUACAGAGAGAAACCAAAACAGGGAAGUAAAGCAAUCAAAGUCGGCAUCGGUGAACUCUUUCAAGUUUCAAAGUUUAUUUUCUCACCUUCUAUUCCUUCCUCGAUAAUUUCCAGAGAAUGAAUCGGAGGUGAAAGAUCGUUGCUUUUAUAGAUCAAAAUCUAGGGCUUAAUUUUCCUUUGAUAAAAUUAUUUCCAAAAAAAUUUAUUUCUAAAAUUUACCAUCAAUAAUUGUAUAUUUCCAAAAUUUGUUAUUUCUAAAAUUAAGCAGUAAUCAUUCCAUAUUCAACCCAGUCAAGCAUAAUCUUCAAUACUUACCAUGUUAGAGCAAUGGUGGUUGAGGCGGCGCCGACUUGGAGCCGGAGUGCUGCGAAACGCGGUGGAAGAAAUGAUGGGAGGAAGGGGCGACAGUGGCUGGAGACGCCAAACAUCAGAAUGAAUCGCGGCGGGGGUGAGGGGAAAGUCUCGUUGGAUAAGCGAAAUUGAGGGAAUUUGAUGGAGGUGGCAGAUUGCAGCAGGAGGUAAGGCGGUGGCCGGCGCGGCGAAGGCGGCGGUGGCGGGGAGGUGGCAUAUUGGAGGGCUGGCGGGGGAAUCACGGUGGAGGGACAAAGAGGUGGCAUAUGUAGAUGGUGGCCGGCGCGGCGAAGGCGGUGGUGGCGGUGAGAGUUGGUGGAGGCGACUGGUCCAUGUUUUUCAGAGAAACGAUAGGAGGAAGGGGCGGCGGCUCAACUUGGGGCAGGAUUGCGGUGACGCCGCCGGUGAAUAGGGGUAGGGACGGGGGAGUAUGGUGUGGAGAUGGAGCGACGACGCCGACUUUGGCCGGAC